rnacentral:rRNA from 1 species
UCCAACUGGAAUGGUCGCUAAUACCCCAAAGUGCCGAGAGGUGAAAGGAUAUUUUGCCUAAAGAUGAGCUCGCGUCAAAUUAGCUAGUUGGUGGGGUAACGGCCUACCAAGGCGACGAUCUGUAGCUGGUCUGAGAGGAUGAUCAGCCACACUGGGACUGAGACACGGCCCAAACUCCUACGGGAGGCAGCAGUGGGGAAUUUUCCGCAAUGGGCGAAAGCCUGACGGAGCAAUACCGCGUGAGGGAGGAAGGCCUAUGGGUUGUAAACCUCUUUUCUCUAGGAAGAUAAUAACGGUACUACAGGAAUAAUCCUCGGCUACCUCCUCCCCGCCAGCCGCGGUAAUACGAAGGAGG